rnacentral:rRNA from 1 species
CCUACGGGUGGCAGCAGUGGGGAAUAUUGGACAAUGGGCGAAAGCCUGAUCCAGCCAUGCCGCGUGUGUGAAGAAGGCCUUCGGGUUGUAAAGCACUUUCAGUGGGGAAGAAAGCCUUGGGGCUAAUACCCUCGAGGAAGGACAUCACCCACAGAAGAAGCACCGGCUAACUCCGUGCCAGCAGCCGCGGUAAUACGGAGGGUGCGAGCGUUAAUCGGAAUUACUGGGCGUAAAGCGCGCGUAGGCGGUCUGAUAAGCCGGUUGUGAAAGCCCCGGGCUCAACCUGGGAACGGCAUCCGGAACUGUCAGGCUAGAGUGCAGGAGAGGAAGGUAGAAUUCCCGGUGUAGCGGUGAAAUGCGUAGAGAUCGGGAGGAAUACCAGUGGCGAAGGCGGCCUUCUGGACUGACACUGACGCUGAGGUGCGAAAGCGUGGGUAGCAAACAGGAUUAGAUCCCCCGGUAGUC